UGCACUUGGAGAAGGACGCAUUCCAAUCCCGCAUAUAUGAAAAGUUUAAUAUUUUAGACAGCUAGAUGAAAUGCUGGGGUCUUGGUGCAUUUUGCUUUGGCGGUCCAGGCUUUGAACAUCUUAGGGAAAUGUUUGGAAAUGAAUUUUAUUUUCACAACUGUGAUACAAUUACAAGGCGGGGAUGUUUCAGCCUUCUCAACGAGGUGCCCUUGGUGGUGGUGGUCUGUAAAUGGCUACAGAACUGACAGAGAGCUCUGCAAGCAUUUUCUUCGGUUCUGAUUUUUAGUUUUAUUUGUUUUAACAGAGGGAUAAAACCCAGCAUUGUGCAUGUCCUUGCUCUGUGGGUUGGGGAUGUAUCGUUGUUGUUGUCGUUGUUUUCCUGGGAAGUAAAACAGGGUAGGAUAUUGGUAAUAAGGGCAAGUGGAUUUAUUGCAGAGCGAGUUGUAUGCUGUUUGACAGAAAAAGCUUAGCUUUGACUUCCCAGGGGGGAAUGGAGGACUUUGGUGCAUGCCGCAAAAGGGGUGUUCCCUCUUAGUCCUGCGAGCGCAGCGAGUGUCCUGUCUUCCUACUAUUUUCCUUAGUGCAGAUCAGAGCCACACGGUAGUUCUGUGGCCAAGGCCUCCCUGUAGCCAGGGCUUGGGCCUGUCCUUGCGUGGCCGCCUGUCCUGCUGGCGGCGGUGACAGCCCCUUACUCGGGGUGUGUGUCCCAAGCUUCGGAGCCCUCUGUCCCUGAGCAGCCCGCCCGCCCUGUAAUCAGGUGUGGGGAGGCUGCAGCGUUGCAGCCGGCUGCUUUAGCCAUCCAGCUGGUGGGAGUGACCCCUCCCUGUCCCGUCAGAGGGUGCAGGUUGAGGUGCUGUUUGUGUGUGGGGUGACCUCCCGCUCGGUGGGUCGAGGUAGCUCCCUGGGCUUCCAAAGACGAGACGUUGGUGAUGUUCUGGUGCUGCCGGGCGGGCCAGCCUGUAACUCAGGCGUUGGCGGGAGCCUCGUGCUCCGCGGGGCUUCUUGAAGAGGGUGAGGUGUGGGGGUACCGUCCUGUAGGCAGGGCUGUGUGUGCCCCCCGUGUGUGCUUGGUGAGCUGCGUUCUGAGAGACCCCCUGUACUCAGGUGGGAAUGUGGCCCCGGCCUUUCAGAGGCGCGGGGCCGUGAGAUGCGGGGUGGGGCUUGCCGCCCUCCCUGGAAUCGGGGCUGGGAUCCCGACUGCGGCCUUUGGCCGUGCCGCCCCGCUGCCUGGCUGCUGAGAGUUGCUCCUGCCGCUGGGGGGGAAACCGAGCUCUGUGGCUCCAGGGGUGUUGUCCACCCGCCUGUAAUCAGGGUCUGGGUGCGUGAGCGUUUGUGCUCUGCUGGCAGCCUGUGUGGGGUGACCGCCCCGCUAGCGGGGUGUGGGUCGAGGUGCCCCGGACUGGGAGAGAAGGAGCCUCCCUCGGCCGUAGGGAUGGGGGCUGCCCUGUAAGUCAGGGAGCAUCUGUGUCCCCGGAGUCCCAGGCCCUUUUCGAUGGCGGCAGUGGCCGGGGGUCCCCUGUAAGCAGGGAAGCUGACUCUUUGGCUGCUGCUUUUUGUGUGCCCAGCCCCAUUUGCCCAGUCUGCCCGCCUCUGUGAUCCCCCGCGGCACUGGCUGGAAGUCUGCCGCGUGUCAGUGAGGUGCUGCUGCUGAAGGAAGAAGAAGAAGCAGCGGCGUGGGGACCUGGGAGGCAGGAGCAAGCAAGAAGAGGAAGCGGAAGCGUGCAGAUGUGGGGGGGAAGGAGAGAGGCUCCCUGGGCAAAGCACCUGUCCCGUUAGCAGGGGCACAGUCACGUUUGAGUUGAGAGCUGCCGGCGCCUUUGGUGACCAGGCUGGCGUUGUGCUGGGCGACCUCCCCGUAAGCGGGGCUCGGGUCUUUGCUGUAGUUGGCCUUUUGCCUUGCUGCUCCUUUGGCUGCCUGGGGAGCGUGGCCCCCUGUAACGGAGGGCGAGAGCCACCUCUCCGCACCUGAGUGGGAAAUGGAGCUCGCCGGACCCCGAGGCCACCCUGUAAGCAGGGUAGUGCCGUUUCCCUGCCCCUCUUCCUCCCCCGGCCCCUCGGCAUCGUUGCCUGAUGGUGGCUUGUCAAUGCGACGGCCCCGUACUCGGGGGUGUGUGUCCCAAGCUUCGGAGGCCCUCUGUCCUGAGCAGCCCGCCCGCCCUGUAAUCAGGUGUGGGGAGGCUGCAGCGUUGCAGCCGGCUGCUUUAGCCAUCCAGCUGGUGGGAGUGACCCCUCCCUGUCCCGUCAGAGGGUGCAGGUUGAGGUGCUGUUUGUGUGUGGGGUGACCUCCCCGCUCGGUGGGUCGAGGUAGCUCCCUGGGCUUCCAAAGACGAGACGUUGGUGAUGUUCUGGUGCUGCCGGGCGGGCCAGCCUGUAACUCAGGCGUUGGCGGGAGCCUCGUGCUCCGCGGGGCUUCUUGAAGAGGGUGAGGUGUGGGGGUACCGUCCUGUAGGCAGGGCUGUGUGUGCCCCCCGUGUGUGCUUGGUGAGCUGCGUUCUGAGAGACCCCCUGUACUCAGGUGGGAAUGUGGCCC
rnacentral:lncRNA from 1 species